rnacentral:rRNA from 1 species
AAGUCGUAACAAGGUUUCCGUAGGUGAACCUGCGGAAGGAUCAUUACUAGAGCAAAGGAUAGACAGCACCCCACAGAAGCUUGCUUCGUGGGGGCUACCCUACUUCGGUAGGGUUUAGAGUCGUCGGGCCUCUCGGAGAAGCUCGGUCCUGAACUCCACCCUUGAAUAAAUUACCUUUGUUGCUUUGGCGGGCCGCCUCGUGCCAGCGGCUUCGGCUGUUGAGUGCCCGCCAGAGGACCACAACUCUUGUUUUUAGUGAUGUCUGAGUACUAUAUAAUAGUUAAAACUUUCAACAACGGAUCUCUUGGUUCUGGCAUCGAUGAAGAACGCAGCGAAAUGCGAUAAGUAAUGUGAAUUGCAGAAUUCAGUGAAUCAUCGAAUCUUUGAACGCACAUUGCGCCCUCUGGUAUUCCGGGGGGCAUGCCUGUUCGAGCGUCAUUAUAACCACUCAAGCUCUCGCUUGGUAUUGGAGUUCGCGGUUUCGCGGCCCCUAAAAUCAGUGGCGGUGCCUGUCGGCUCUACGCGUAGUAAUACUCCUCGCGAUUGAGUCCGGUAGGUCUACUUGCCAGCAACCCCCAAUUUUUACAGGUUGACCUCGGAUCAGGUAGGGAUACCCGCUGAACUUA